rnacentral:rRNA from 1 species
GUUGUAGUCUGGAGAAGUGCUUUCCGCGCUGGACCGUGUACAAGUCUCUUGGAAUAGAGCGUCAUAGAGGGUGAGAAUCCCGUCUUUGACACGGACUACCAGUGCUUUGUGAUGCGCUCUCAAAGAGUCGAGUUGUUUGGGAAUGCAGCUCAAAAUGGGUGGUAAAUUCCAUCUAAAGCUAAAUAUUGGCGAGAGACCGAUAGCGAACAAGUACCGUGAGGGAAAGAUGAAAAGCACUUUGGAAAGAGAGUUAAACAGUACGUGAAAUUGCUGAAAGGGAAACGCUUGAAGUCAGUCGCGUCGUGUGGGACUCAGCCUUGCUUUUGCUUGGUGCACUUCCUGCAUGACGGGCCAGCAUCAAUUUCGACCGUUGGAUAAGGGCCGAAGGAAUGUGGCACCUCCGGGUGUGUUAUAGCCUUCGGUCGCAUACAACGAUUGGGAUUGAGGAACGCAGCGUGCCGCAAGGUAACGUUUGAGGAUGCUGGCAUAAUGGCUUUAAACGACCCGUCUUGAAACACGGACCAAGGAGUCUAACAUGCCUGCGAGUGUUUGGGUGGAAA